CCUAGGAACUCGGCAAAUUGCCCCCGUAACUUCGGGAGAAGGGGGGCCAUGCCCGGUGAUCCACCUUGCGUGGUGAGCGGGGUGUGGCCGCAGAUACCAGGGGGAAGCGACUGUUUACUAAAAACACAGGUCCGUGCGAAGUCGUAAGACGCUGUAUACGGACUGACGCCUGCCCGGUGCCGGAACGUUAAGAGGACCGGUCAACCCUCACGGGUGAAGCUGAGAAUCUAAGCGCCGGUAAACGGCGGUGGUAACUAUAACCAUCCUAAGGUAGCGAAAUUCCUUGUCGGGUAAGUUCCGACCUGCACGAAUGGCGUAACGACUUCCCCACUGUCUCAACCACAGACCCGGCGAAAUUGCAGUACGAGUAAAGAUGCUCGUUUCGCGCAGCAGGACGGAAAGACCCCGGGACCUUCACUACAGCUUGGCAUUGGCGUUUGGAGCGUCUUGUGUAGGAUAGGUGGGAGACUGUGAAGCUCACACGCCAGUGUGGGUGGAGUCAUUGGUGAAAUACCACUCUGGUCGUUUCGAGCGUCUAACCCGCACCCGUGAAUCCGGGUGGGGGACAGUGCCUGGUGGGUAGUUUAACUGGGGCGGUUGCCUCCUAAAAGGUAACGGAGGCGCCCAAAGGUUCCCUCAGCCUGGUUGGUAAUCAGGUGGCGAGUGCAAGGGCACAAGGGAGCUUGACUGUGAGACGGACAUGUCGAGCAGGUGCGAAAGCAGGGCCUAGUGAUCCGGCGGUGGCAUGUGGAAGCGCCGUCGCUCAACGGCUAAAAGGUACCCCGGGGAUAACAGGCUGAUCUUCCCCAAGAGUCCAUAUCGACGGGAUGGUUUGGCACCUCGAUGUCGGCUCGUCGCAUCCUGGGGCUGGAGUAGGUCCCAAGGGUUGGGCUGUUCGCCCAUUAAAGCGGCACGCGAGCUGGGUUUAGAACGUCGCGAGACAGUUCGGUCCCUAUCCGCUGCGCGCGCAGGAGAUUUGAGAGGGUCUGUCCCUAGUACGAGAGGACCGGGACGGACGAACCUCUGGUGUGCCAGUUGUCAUGCCAAUGGCACGGCUGGUUGGCUACGUUCGGACGGGAUAACCGCUGAAAGCAUCUAAGCGGGAAGCCUUCCUCGAGAUGAGAUCUCCCACCCCCAUGAGGGGUGUAAGGCCCCCAGCUAGACCACUGGGUUGAUAGGCCAGAAAUGGAAGCACCGUAAGGUGUGGAGUUGACUGGUACUAAUAGGCCGAGCGGCUUGAGA
rnacentral:rRNA from 1 species